rnacentral:rRNA from 1 species
ACAGGAUUAGAUACCCUGGUAGUCCACGCCGUAAACGAUGUCGACUUGGAGGUUGUGCCCUUGAGGCGUGGCUUCCGGAGCUAACGCGUUAAGUCGACCGCCUGGGGAGUACGGCCGCAAGGUUAAAACUCAAAUGAAUUGACGGGGGCCCGCACAAGCGGUGGAGCAUGUGGUUUAAUUCGAUGCAACGCGAAGAACCUUACCUGGUCUUGACAUCCACAGAACUUUCCAGAGAUGGAUUGGUGCCUUCGGGAACUGUGAGACAGGUGCUGCAUGGCUGUCGUCAGCUCGUGUUGUGAAAUGUUGGGUUAAGUCCCGCAACGAGCGCAACCCUUAUCCUUUGUUGCCAGCGGUCCGGCCGGGAACUCAAAGGAGACUGCCAGUGAUAAACUGGAGGAAGGUGGGGAUGACGUCAAGUCAUCAUGGCCCUUACGACCAGGGCUACACACGUGCUACAAUGGCGCAUACAAAGAGAAGCGACCUCGCGAGAGCAAGCGGACCUCAUAAAGUGCGUCGUAGUCCGGAUUGGAGUCUGCAACUCGACUCCAUGAAGUCGGAAUCGCUAGUAAUCGUGGAUCAGAAUGCCACGGUGAAUACGUUCCCGGGCCUUGUACACACCGCCCGUCACACCAUGGGAGUGGGUUGCAAAAGAAGUAGGUAGCUUAACCUUCGGGAGGGCGCUUACCACUUUGUGAUUCAUGACUGGGGUGAAGUCGUAACAAGGUAACCGUAGGGGAACCUGCGGUUGGAUCAC